rnacentral:misc_RNA from 1 species
GAUGAAGAACGUAGCGAAAUGCGAUAAGUAAUGUGAAUUGCAGAAUUCAGUGAAUCAUCGAAUCUUUGAACGCACAUUGCGCCCGCCAGUAUUCUGGCGGGCAUGCCUGUUCGAGCGUCAUUACAACCCUCAGGCCCCCGGGCCUGGCGUUGGGGAUCGGCGGAGCCCCCCGUGGGCACACGCCGUCCCCCAAAUACAGUGGCGGUCCCGCCGCAGCUUCCAUCGCGUAGUAGCUAACACCUCGCGACUGGAGAGCGGCGCGGCCACGCCGUAAAACACCCAACUCUUCUGAAGUUGACCUCGAAUCAGGUAGGAAUACCCGUUGAACUUAAGCAUAUCAAUAAGCGGAGGA